AGGACGAACGCUGGCGGCGUGCUUAACACAUGCAAGUCGAGCGGUAAGGCCUUUCGGGGUACACGAGCGGCGAACGGGUGAGUAACACGUGGGUGAUCUGCCCUGCACUCUGGGAUAAGCUUGGGAAACUGGGUCUAAUACCGGAUAUGACCUGCUCUCGCAUGGGGGUGGUGGAAAGAUUUAUCGGUGCAGGAUGGGGCCCCGCGGCCU
rnacentral:rRNA from 1 species